UACGUAGGGUGCAAGCGUUGUCCGGAAUUAUUGGGCGUAAAGAGCUCGUAGGCGGCUUGUCGCGUCGGCUGUGAAAACCUGGGGCUCAACCCCGGGCCUGCAGCCGAUACGGGCAAGCUAGAGUUCGGUAGGGGAGACUGGAAUUCCUGGUGUAGCGGUGAAAUGCGCAGAUAUCAGGAAGAACACCAAUGGCGAAAGCAGCUCUCUGGGACGGUACUGACGCUGAGACGCGAAAGCGUGGGGAGCGAACAGG
rnacentral:rRNA from 1 species